rnacentral:rRNA from 1 species
GAUGAACGCUGGCGGCGUGCUUAACACAUGCAAGUCGAACGAAGAUGCCGGAGUGCUUGCACUUUGGCAGACUGAGUGGCGGACGGGUGAGUAACGCGUGGGUAACCUGCCUUAUACAGGGGGACAACAGUUGGAAACGACUGCUAAUACCGCAUAAGCCCACGGCUCGGCAUCGAGCAGAGGGAAAAGGAGUGAUCCGCUUUGAGAUGGCCUCGCGUCCGAUUAGCUGGUUGGUGAGGUAACGGCCCACCAAGGCGACGAUCGGUAGCCGGACUGAGAGGUUGAACGGCCACAUUGGGACUGAGACACGGCCCAGACUCCUACGGGAGGCAGCAGUGGGGAAUAUUGCACAAUGGGGGAAACCCUGAUGCAGCGACGCCGCGUGGAGGAAGAAGGUCUUCGGAUUGUAAACUCCUGUUGUUGAGGAAGAUAAUGACGGUACUCAACAAGGAAGUGACGGCUAACUACGUG